AACUUUCGACAAUGGAUCUCUUGGUACUGGCAUCGAUGAAGAACGCAGCGAAAUGCGAUAAGUAAUGUGAAUUGCAGAAUUCAGUGAAUCAUCGAAUCUUUGAACGCACAUUGCGCCCCUUGGUAUUCCGAGGGGCAUGCCUGUUCGAGCGUCAUUAUAACCACUCAAGCCUCGGCUUGGUCUUGGGGUUCGCGGUCUCGCGGCUCUUAAAAUCAGUGGCAGUGCCGUCUGGCUCUAAGCGUAGUAAUUCUCUCGCUAUAGAGUUCCGGUGGUUACUUGCCAAAACCCCUAAUUUUUUAACGGUUGACCUCGGAUCAGGUAGGGAUACCCGCUGAACUUAAGCAUAUCAAUAAGCGGAGGCU
rnacentral:misc_RNA from 1 species